GAUGAACGCUGGCGGCGUGCCUAAUACAUGCAAGUCGAGCGAACAGAUGAGGAGCUUGCUCCUCUGACGUUAGCGGCGGACGGGUGAGUAACACGUGGAUAACCUACCUAUAAGACUGGGAUAACUUCGGGAAACCGGAGCUAAUACCGGAUAAUAUAUUGAACCGCAUGGUUCAAUAGUGAAAGACGGUUUUGCUGUCACUUAUAGAUGGAUCCGCGCCGCAUUAGCUAGUUGGUAAGGUAACGGCUUACCAAGGCAACGAUGCGUAGCCGACCUGAGAGGGGGAUCGCCCCAACGGGAACGAGGACACGGGCCCACCCCCCACGGGAGGCAGCGGUAGGAAUUCUUCCGGAGGGGGCAAAAGCCUGACGGGGAAACCCCGCGGGAGUAAGGAGGGGCUUGGGAUCGUAAAACUUUGUUUUUGGGGAAAAAAAAAUGUGAAAGAAACUAGCCCCUUCUGAACGGUCCCUAAUAAGAAAGCCCGGCCAAACUACGG
rnacentral:rRNA from 1 species